GAUGAACGCUGGCGGCGUGCCUAAUACAUGCAAGUCGAGCGAAUGGAUUAAGAGCUUGCUCUUAUGAAGUUAGCGGCGGACGGGUGAGUAACACGUGGGUAACCUGCCCAUAAGACUGGGAUAACUCCGGGAAACCGGGGCUAAUACCGGAUAACAUUUUGAACCGCAUGGUUCGAAAUUGAAAGGCGGCUUCGGCUGUCACUUAUGGAUGGACCCGCGUGGCAUUAGCCAGUUGGUGAGGUAACGGCUCACCAAGGCAACGAUGCGUAGGCGACCUGAGAGGGUGAUCGGCCACACUGGGACUGAGACACGGCCCAGACUCCUACGGGAGGCAGCAGUAGGGAAUCUUCCGCAAUGGACGAAAGUCUGACGGAGCAACGCCGCGUGAGUGAUGAAGGCUUUCGGGUCGUAAAACUCUGUUGUUAGGGAAGAACAAGUGCUAGUUGAAUAAGCUGGCACCUUGACGGUACCUAGCCAGAAAGCCACGGCUAACUACGUGCCAGCAGCCGCCGUAA
rnacentral:rRNA from 1 species